rnacentral:lncRNA from 7 species
AGUGUAACAUUGUCACAGACACUUGACGGCAUCCUCAUCAGGAAUUCACUCUAACAUGCAACACCAAGUGGCGGAGCUUUGACUGUUCUUCAUCCAAGGGAAUAUGAACGACAAGCUGAUUUAAUUCUUACUGUCAUAGCCACAGAAAUGCUCUAUGAUCCUCACAAAGAUGACUGGCAUUUGAUGUCAUUGCUUUUCCAGUUGUGUUGAUCCAACACCGAAGAACAUAUAUCCUCCAUCAAAGGCAAACUCAGUUUCCAAGUGCACAACGAAGAGUUAUAAUGAGGCUCAGAAAGUCACAAUCCAUACCGCAAUAUUAUCUUGCAGGAUUAUGGAGGAAAGAAGUGGAACUCCUCCUAAGAUCUAGAAUAUUAUUUGAAGGCCUGCACAUUAUUGCUGGAUGACUGUCUGCUGUCGCUGCUCUUCUUCUCUUAAGAUAAUCUAAGCCAUGCUGUCUGCUUGUGAGCCAAGGAUCUUAAUAAGUUCUACGAAAAUGGUGUGGUAAAUUCCUUGCAAAGUGUUUCUUAAUCAUCCUCUACAUAAAUACACUUUGAACCUUCUGUGGACACAUCCAUGUGAUAUGUCUAAUACGUUGCUUUAUGAGUCACCUGUGCCCUGGAAGACAUAGCAUGAACAGUAAAUAACCACUGGUCAAUGGCAAUAAGUAUUGCCAUAAAUUGAUGGCACGGCAAAGAAAAGUGACCCAGAGAGUAUUACCGAGAGACAAGAAGUUGGUGGGAAGUUUUCCACUUGUGAUGGCGCAUUAGCUUUUGUUUGUUUCUUCUUUUAACCUUCUGUUUUUGUCUCUUAUUUAUUUAUUUAUUUAUUUUCUAAUUAAAUCUAUCGUAAU